UUAACGAACGUCUGAUCAUUACUAAAUUUAGAAAACCGUUAUUAAAUCUAUAGUGGUUUUCUAUGUGAUAAUAACGCCCGUCACACUAUGGGAGCUGGCCAUGCCCGAAGUCGUUACCUUAACCGCAAGGCGAAGGAGGGGGAUGCCGAAGGCAGGGCUAGUGACUGGAGUGAAGUCAUAACAAGGUAGCCGUACUGGAAGGUGCGGCUGGAUCACCUCCUUU
rnacentral:lncRNA from 1 species